UACGUAGGGUGCUAGCGUUGUUCGGAAUCAUUGCGCGUAAAGCGCGUGUAGGCGGUCAGGCAAGUCAGAUGUGAAAUCCCUGGGCUCAACCGAGGAAGUGCAUCCGAAACUGCUUGGCUAGAAGACGGUAGAGGAAGGUGGAAUUCCUAGUGUAGAGGUGAAAUUCGUAGAUAUUAGGAGGAAUACCGGUGGCGAAGGCGGCCUCCUGGGCCGAUCUUGACGCUGAGACGCGAAAGCGUGGGGAGCAAACAGG
rnacentral:rRNA from 1 species